CCAGUGUGCUACGACUUGCUCAAGGGAAAUCUCGAUCAACGCUGCACAAAGAGGCUAGAGAGGAAUCUCUCAGUGAAGACCCUCAUGGAAUUGUUUUAAAAGCAGCACUUCUCAUGUUACCAUCCUUGUUCAGAGAGAAGCUCGAACACUGCAUUGUACUUGGGAAGAGCAAACCAUCUUCACCAAGUAUAGGAAGCCAGUGACUGGAGAACGUACUGUGGAUGGUGACAACCCUCUACCUACCACAGUUAAGAGUAAUCAACCUCCUACAUUAACACCUGCAAAAAUGCCCUGCCUUUUCUGUUUCACUAAAUGCUCUUGGAGAAUAUUCAUGAUUGUCCAGUGAAUGCAGCACAUUGGUCCUAUUCAUGCUUAUGAGGCAAAUUUUUCAAUAACGUGGUCUGAAUGACUGCAGAGAACAUUUUCAAAUUAUGAAACCUUUAGAUGUCA